GAUGAACGCUAGCGGCAGGCCUAACACAUGCAAGUCGAGGGGUAUUAGGAGCUUGCUCCUAAGAGACCGGCGCACGGGUGCGUAACGCGUAUGCAAUCUACCUUUUACAGGGGAAUAGCCCAGAGAAAUUUGGAUUAAUGCCCCAUAGUAUAUAAACUUCGCAUGUUGUUUAUAUUAAAGUUCCAACGGUAAAAGAUGAGCAUGCGUCCCAUUAGUUAGUUGGUAAGGUAACGGCUUACCAAGACGAUGAUGGGUAGGGGUCCUGAGAGGGAGAUCCCCCACACUGGUACUGAGACACGGACCAGACUCCUACGGGAGGCAGCAGUGAGGAAUAUUGGACAAUGGGCGCAAGCCUGAUCCAGCCAUGCCGCGUGCAGGAAGAAGCAUCUAUGGUGUGUAAACUGCUUUUGUACGGGAAGAAACACUCCCUCGUGAGGGAGCUUGACGUACCGUAGA
rnacentral:rRNA from 1 species